GUUCUGAAAGGGACCCACCCCAGUCACCCACGCUUGCACGAAGUAGCCGACGAUUGCCAUCAUUGCCAACCUCCCAUUCUUCACUUCCUUGACCUUCAUCUCCCUCAUCGACUUCUCAUCCUUGCCAAGCCCCAGCGGGUUGAAAAAGGGCCCGCCGGGGUACGCCGGAUCGCCCGACCCCCCCAGCCCUUUCUCCAGGCCUAGGAAGUACUGCUUGCCCAUCGACCCCGGAUUGGCCCAGUCCUGGAACCGCCGGUGCUCCGCGAAUCCCACCAGGGC
rnacentral:lncRNA from 1 species